rnacentral:rRNA from 1 species
GAUGAACGCUGGCGGCGUGCCUAAUACAUGCAAGUCGAGCGAACAGACGAGGAGCUUGCUCCUCUGACGUUAGCGGCGGACGGGUGAGUAACACGUGGAUAACCUACCUAUAAGACUGGGAUAACUUCGGGAAACCGGAGCUAAUACCGGAUAAUAUAUUGAACCGCAUGGUUCAAUAGUGAAAGACGGUUUUGCUGUCACUUAUAGAUGGAUCCGCGCCGCAUUAGCUAGUUGGUAAGGUAACGGCUUACCAAGGCAACGAUGCGUAGCCGUCCUGAGAGGGUGACCGGCCACACUGAACCUGGACCCGGUCCAGACUCCUACGGGAGGCAGCAGUAGGGAAUCUUCCGCAAUGGGCGAAAGCCUGACGGAGCAACGCCGCGUGAGUGAUGAAGGUCUUCGGAUCGUAAAACUCUGUUAUUAGGGAAGAACAAAUGUGUAAGUAACUAUGCACGUCUUGACGGUACCUAAUCAGAAAGCCACGGCUAACUACGUG